GUUUUAGUGGUGUAUAAAACACAUUAUAUUUUCACUAUAAAGCUGGGAAUUCUUCCUCUAAAAUU
rnacentral:tRNA from 1 species